UACUUUCCCCAUCUCCGUCAAGCAGCCUGGUCCAAGGGAUUUUCUCCUCCAGUGCUUUAUAAAGCGGUGCCGGUCCACUCAGACGUACUAUCUCUACCUCAGUUUAACAAAUGCACUAGCUGAUGAUGGAAAGUUCCUUCUUGCUGCUCGCAAGUGUAGACGCCCCACCUUCACGGAUUAUAUCAUCUCUCUAGAUGCUGACAAUAUGUCAAAGGGAAGUAGUACUUAUGUUGGGAAGCUAAGAUCAAAUUUUUGGGGAACCAAGUUCACAGUUUUUGAUGGGCAGCUCCCUCAUGCUGGGGCAAAGAUGACAAAAAGUCGCUCCACUAGGCUAGUAAAUUUGAAACAAGUUUCACCUAGGGUCCCUGCUGGCAACUAUCCUGUGGCACACCUCUCAUAUGAAUUGAAUGUGUUGGGUUCCAGGGGUCCUAGGAGAAUGCAGUGUGUUAUGGAUGGUAUCCCGGCCACUUCUAUUCAACCUGGUGGAGUGGCCCCCACACAGACUGAGUUUUCUCAUCACAGUGUAGAUUUCUUUCCAUCACUCCCAUUCUUCCUUUCAAAACCAAACUGUGCAGAGAAUUUUCUAUCAGGACCUUUGUCCAGUCAGAAAGAUGGAGCAUUGGUACUGAAAAACAAGGCUCCAAGGUGGCAUGAGCAGCUUCAGUGUUGGUGUUUAAACUUCCAUGGACGAGUGACAGUUGCUUCAGUUAAAAACUUUCAGCUGGUUGCUUCCCCAGAAAAUGGACCUGCUGGUCCAGAACAUGAGAAGAUCAUCCUUCAAUUUGGGAAAGUGGGAAAGGAUUUGUUUACCAUGGAUUACCGGUACCCAGUCUCCGCAUUCCAAGCAUUUGCAAUUUGCCUCAGCAGCUUUGACACCAAGAUUGCUUGUGAAAUGAUGAUCAAACAGGUGCAAAGUUCCAAGGUUCAGCCAGGGUCCCUGUGGUGAUGCAACAGAGUGACUGCAGCUUGUCCUGUGGGAUUAGAUUGCAUAUGGAGCAUUUUUGCAAAUUAAAUGGAAAGACUGCAGCUUGUUCGAGAUUUUGAUUAUGUGGAUUUUGAAAUCUAGUCAGUUGAAUUGUAGACCGUAGACUUUCAGCUUAUAAUAUUGGAACUUUGUCAUUCACGGUAUAUAUUUUGCUGUGUAUAUAAUAAUAAUAAUAUUGUGCAAGCUGCAGUCUUUCCAUUUAAUUUGCA
rnacentral:misc_RNA from 1 species